rnacentral:rRNA from 1 species
AUUGAACGCUGGCGGCAUGCCUUACACAUGCAAGUCGAACGGUAACGGGCCUUCGGGUGCCGACGAGUGGCGAACGGGUGAGUAAUACAUCGGAACGUGCCCGAUCGUGGGGGAUAACGAGGCGAAAGCUUUGCUAAUACCGCAUACGAUCUACGGAUGAAAGCAGGGGACCGCAAGGCCUUGCGCGGACGGAGCGGCCGAUGGCAGAUUAGGUAGUUGGUGGGAUAAAAGCUUACCAAGCCGACGAUCUGUAGCUGGUCUGAAAGGAUGAUCAGCCACACUGGGACUGAGACACGGCCCAGACUCCUACGGGAGGCAGCAGUGGGGAAUUUUGGACAAUGGGCGCAAGCCUGAUCCAGCCAUGCCGCGUGCAGGAUGAAGGCCUUCGGGUUGUAAACUGCUUUUGUACGGAACGAAAAGCCUUCUUUUAAUACAGGAGGGUCAUGACGGUACCGUAAGAAUAAGCACCGGCUAACUACGUG